rnacentral:lncRNA from 1 species
GGUGUCUUCCCUCCACUCCAUCUUAGCCCCCAGGGAUGGACAUCCAGGGGAAGCAGCCCCACUUCCUGUGUCUACUCCUCAUGGACAUUGUGGGAGCUCCAUUUUCUUCAACAGAAGAUAUGAAUCAAGCAAUCUGAGGGCCUAGAUGGGGAGAAAAGGGCCCUGAAACAGGGAGAGAUGAAUGUAGCCACCAGCUCUCUGUUUUUUUCUUUAGAGGGGCAGGGAGUCAUUCAACCUAAGAAUUUUUCCUUGCUGUCUUGCAUAUCCCAACAGGCCUCCCUUCAUUCUUACAGUGUGACUGACCUAAAUUGAAAAUAUGAAGAGGACCCAUGGGCUAAAAGGCUAAUUUUUCAUUGUCGGUAUAUACUAAAUUUGUUUAUCCAUCAUCUGUCCAUUGACAGUUGGUUGCCUCCACCCUUUGACUAUUGUGAACAGUGCUGCUAUGAACAUGAGUGUGCAAAUAUACUUUCAAGAUCCUGGUUUCAAUUCUUUUGAGAUUACCCAGAAGUAGAAUCAGUGGAACAUACGGAAGAAGAUUAUGGGCAAGUACUGCAAGAACUGGCAACAGUCUCAUAUUAUGUGGACAACUCUACAAUGCAUGUUUGUUUGGGCUCUCCCUUUUCGCUGCUCCAAACUCCCUGUCCCUGACUUUUGCUUACUGGGUCCAGUCCCCAGUAGAGUAGCUGCUCUUAGGCUUUUGUCUUAGGAGAACUCAGGGGAACACGUGGCCUAUGCUCUGGCAAUAAAAUCUUCUUGCAUUGUCAGAAGUCACCUCACUAUUUGAUGUCUCCGUAUACUCCCUCUGCUUUAAUCUCACUUACUUCCCCCAAACCUCAAUCUGGCCCCUGUUUAAAUGUCACCUGUUCAUGAAGCUUUCCUUCAUCUCCACAACAAAGCUGGUUUCUCCCUUCUCUGUGGCUGCUGUACCUUGUUUAUUCCUCCAUGGGCGCACUGAGGGCUCUCAAUACAUUUGGUUUUAUAUCUGAUACUCAUUGUAAUAUCCACUAUUUUUUUUUUGUUUCUUUUAUAUUUUAGGUCCUCAAACAUUGCCAAACAUUGUCAAUCAUUCUUGAAGGUUUAACAUUAAAUGAUAUUAAGAAACGGACACUGGGCAAUAACUUUAGCACCAGCUGGGAGAAUUGGUGAUGAUUAUAGUCGGAAAGAAUCCCAAAUAUGUGAUGCUGGUAAUCUCUGGUCAUAAAUACAUAUUGAGUGUAAAUCUUUUCUUACAAUAAUAAAAUGCCUAAGGAAAUAUCUAUCCCCAGACACAAACACAUUUACGUUCUUCUCUUAUUUCUUAUCAAUCUAGUCUGGGAUAGAUGAUGUGCUGCUCAGAGAUGGGGGCUAGAUGAAAUUACUGGGGGAUGGGAGCUGUCCUAUUUAUUGGGCAACCUCAGACUGUGGCUCUCCGGGGGAAUUGGCCACCUAAACUGGUACCCUCCACUGACCAGGCCAACAUAAACAUGGCUGGGAAAAGGGCAAUGUUUUUAUGGUCCUUAGUCCCUGGAGACCCUGUUUCACUGGGAAAGAUACUCUCACUAUAGUGACCACUUGCCUGAGACUCCCAAUUCUGGAAGCCUCUCACGGAAGAAGCUGUCUAGGACCACCUCAGUGAAUUGAUUCAGCUCCCAAAACACCCAGGAAGCCCUUCCAGAUUAAUGAGAACAGGAAGGCAAACACACUCCCAGGACGCUGAUCCUUGUGAACAAGAAAUAAGCAGUGGCCAUAACCCCUCCCUUUUAAUUCACCACCUUUUAAACUUCAAUCAUAUUUUCCUGAGACAACAUUGGAAACUGGCCUUUCUGUUGGCAUUCCUUCUUCAGUGCAUAGAUCAGUCAUUUUAGGCUCACUUCAAACCUAUUUGAAUCCCACGUCCCCUGCUCACCAUGCUACCUUUCUUUUUACUGUCCUCCAAUCUUAGUCUUGGUACUACUGUGUGUGUGUGAGAGAGAGAGAGAGAGAGAAAAAAAAAAAAAGAAAGAAAGAAAGAACAGAGACAGCAAG